UAAUAAAAACAAAACACUAUCUUUUCAGUAUAGAAAUAAAGAAAAUUUAAUAAUU
rnacentral:tRNA from 1 species